AGAGCGAACGCUGGCGGCAUGCUUAACACAUGCAAGUCGCACGGGCACUUCGGUGUCAGUGGCGGACGGGUGAGUAACGCGUAGGUAUCUAUCCUUGGGUGGGGGACAACGGUUGGAAACGACUGCUAAUACCGCAUAAUAACUGAGGUUUAAAGGCGCAAGUCGCCUGAGGAGGAGCCUGCGUACGAUUAGCUAGUUGGUGGGGUAAAGGCCUACCAAGGCGACGAUCGUUAGCUGGUCUGAGAGGAUGAUCAGCCACAUUGGGACUGAGACACGGCCCAAACUCCUACGGGAGGCAGCAGUGGGGAAUAUUGGACAAUGGGCGAAAGCCUGAUCCAGCAAUGCCGCGUGUGUGAAGAAGGUCUUCGGAUUGUAAAGCACUUUCGACAGGGACGAUGAUGACGGUACCUGUAGAAGAGCCCGGCUAACUUCGUGCCAGCAGCCGC
rnacentral:rRNA from 1 species